rnacentral:rRNA from 1 species
UACGUAGGAGGCAAGCGUUUGUCCGGAAUUACUGGGCGUAAAGCGCGUGUAGGUGGUGGGACAAGUCUGCUGUGAAAGCGCCUGGCUUAACCGGGCGAGGUCGGCGGAAACUGUCCGACUAGAGGACGGUAGAGGGGGGUGGAAUUCCCGGUGUAGUGGUGAAAUGCGUAGAGAUCGGGAGGAACACCUGUGGCGAAGGCGGCCCCCUGGGCCGGCCCUGACACUGAGACGCGAAGGCGUGGGGGAGCGAACGGG